rnacentral:lncRNA from 10 species
GGAAAUCUUAGAGAUUCCAAGCCUGAGAAGGACUCAACCCACAAUUACUGGCUUUGAGGAUGGAGCAAGGGGGCAAUGAGCCAAGGAAUACAGCCGGAAAACCAUUGGUACUUGCCCCAGGUAGGAGGAGGAGCAGAGAACAGAAGGUUUCUGUGGAGCUGCGUUAAUCACCAAGGAGAGGCAGAUGGCUCCAAGCCCACAGAGUGUGACCCAGCAUACCCACAACAGCCUGAUCUGCAAAUCAACAGUGUAAAGAGCUCAAAUCCAGAGGCUGAAGGCUUAUUGUGUUGACUUUCUCAUCCUAGAGGUCACUGAAUGCAGAACUUGGGAACUUCUGGACUUCCUAUGCAACAGCUUGCUUAAACCUGGAAGGGACCCCUGGCUGGGAAUAGUCACAUUUAUCAAAUGGUUAAUAGAUCUUCUACUGGGUUAAAAGCUUUACAUUCGAAAUCAUCCUAUCUUCACAAAAAAAUCUCUCUGAAGUAGUUAUUGGCACCUCUGCUGUGUUAGUAAGGAAACGAAGUUCAGCAGAAGAUACGAUUUUACUCAAGAUGACACAGCUGGCAAGUAGUCAAGUCUGAAUCCUUUUCUAAUAUUAAUUUAUGGUUAUAAAUUUCUCUUUAAGCACAACUUUAAUUACACAUAAUAAAUUUAAUGUGUCAUAUUUUCAUUAUCAUUAGUUCAAAAUGCUUUCUAAUUUCCAUUAUGUUUUUUUCACUAAUCUGUAGGUUAUUUUGAAGUAUAUUUUAAACUUCCAGGUGGGUGAGAUUUUCACUUAUCUGUUAGUUAUUAAUUCUACCUUACUUGAACUGUGGUUAGAAAACAUUUUUAUGAAUACUAUUAAACUUAGAAAUGUGUAAGACUUGCUUAUGGCUUUCAAUUUUUGUAAAUAUCUGUUUAUACUUGAAAAGAAUGUGUAUUCUGAAGUUCUUAGGUGUCCUCUGUGUGUCAGUUAAAUCAAAUUAUUUGUUGUGCUGUUCAGAUCUUCAAUAUCUUUAGUAAGAUAUUGCUAAGAUUCUACUAAGAUGGUGGAUUUGUCCAUUUUCUCUUUUAGUUUGGUCAUUUUUUUGCCUUAUAUAUUUUGAUGCUAUGUUACUAAGGGUAUAUGAAUUAUAUUUGUUAUAUAUGUCUAUGGACUGAAACUUUUAUGUUUUUAAAGUAUCCCUCUUGCACCCUUUUCAGUAAAUGGCAUGGGGAAAAUCUGAUUGCCACAGACAGAAGAAUGAAACUGGAUGCCUAUUUCUCACAAUACACAAAAGCGAUUCAAGAUUAAAGACUUAACUGUAAGACUUGAAACUGUAAAAAUACUAGAAGAAAAUCUAGGGAAAACUGUUCUGGACAUUGGCCUAGAAAAAGAAUUUCUGACUAAGACUUCAAAAGCACAGUAAACAAAAAUAGACAAACGGGACUUAAUGAAACUAAAACUCUUCUGCAGAGCAAAGAAAAUAAGAAACAGAGUGAACAGACAACCUGCAAAAUGGGAGAUAGACAAUGGAGACUAAGAAGAGCAAAGGAAUGACAGAGAGAUACCUUGACUAUGAAUAAUAGUUUCAAUAAGGAAGACAGAAUGAGUUCUGACACGAUGGUUGGGAGCUGUGACAGGCAGACGAAAAAUGGAGCCAAAUGGCAUGGAGGUGUGUCAUCACUGCUGGAUUUUACCUUGAUCUACAUUCAGUUAUCUACUUCUUUUCAAAAUGCUGGGCAUUCAUUCAAGAAACAGCAUAUAUGUUCUGACUUUGAAGUAAUGGAUGAACUGUCAUGUGCAGUAUAUGGAAAUAAGUUUUAUUACCUUCUUCCCACAUUAACUCAUCCAUCCAUUCAAUAGCCAUUUAUUGAGAAGCUCACUCUGUGUUAGGCACAGUGGUGUCAUGAUGUUGGAACAGUAACAAUAACUCAACCAACCAGGGCUUGUCUGAAUACAAUCCUACAGCAGCAGGAGCUGUGGAGAUAUAGAAGGCAAGGAAGACCAGGUUGUGAGGGAAGACGAAUUUACUCCCAGGAAUGUUGGGAUUGAGAGUAAUAUUCUCCAAUAAUGGUGGAAGACAGAACAAUAAAAGCCCACCAGCUCCUUCUGCAUGGUGGGAUAAGAGAAAAGCCAAGGGCAGAAGUGAGAAAAAUAACCAUCACCAAACUGAAAAGAAAACCUUUAUAAAAAAACUGGAUUGAUAAAUGACCUUUAGUAGUGGAAAGAUACCAUUCCAAUGAAGCAUGAAUUGAAAGGAUUUCUUCUGAAAGCUAAUUUACAUUUUUCUUUUUUUUUUUUUCAUUUUCAGUGUGUUUUAGCAGGUGUAUUGUUCUACAUGGUUAGUUUCUUUACCUCUUUGAGAAAAAUGGGUCAGCUUGACACAUCUGGAUGAAAGAAUCCGUUAGGUGAUUAUGAUUGAAGACAGAUUAAGCCUUGUUAUGAGGGGAAUAUUUGGGGGCUUACCCUGAGGUGAUAUUUGAUGAUUUAGCUGUGGGAGAAUUUCCCUCCCAAGAUCAGCGUGACUGACACUGAAAUUGCUACAGGGGAACCGGACCUUUCCAAGAGGUGACAAGGACAUUUACCUGGUACAACACAAUGGUUCUGGACUGGAAGUCUAGUCCCAUUGAUGAAGUUCCCAAAAGAUGUCCAGGUCCUAAUCCCUGGAAUCUGUGAAUAUGUCAUCUUACACAUCAAAAGAACUUUGAAAAUGUGAUUGAGGUUAAGGACCUUGGAAUGAGGAGAUUACCUUGGAUUAUCUGGUUGGGUCCAAGCUAAUCACAUGAGUCCUUAAAGGAGAAGAACCUUUUUUAGCUGGGUCAGAGAGAGAUGUGAUGAUGAAAACAGGCUCAGGGAGAUGCACUGUAAGAAGGGCUUGACCAGUUGUUUUUGACUUUGAAGAUGGAGGGAAGGGCCAGGAGCCAAGGAAGGUGGGUGGCUUUUGGAAGGUGGAAAAAGCAAGGGAACAUUCUCUCCAGAGCCUCCAGAAAGGAGCUCAGCCCUGUUGACAUCUUUGUUUUUAUUUUUUAUUUUUAGUAGCAUUGAGGUCUCACUAUGUUGCACAGGCUGGUCUUGAACUCUUGAGCUCAAGCACUCCUCCCGCCUUGGCUUCCCAAAGUGCUGGGAUUAUAGGCAUGUGCCACCACAUCUGGCUUCCUACUGACAUCUUAACUUUAGUGCAGUGAGACUCAUAUUUGAAUUUCUGACCUUAUAUUAUAGAACCAUAAGACAUUAUAGAAUUAUAUAGAAUUAUAGAACCAUAAGACAAUAACUUUGUGUUGUUUUAAGAUACUAAAUUUUUGGUAAUUUGUUAUGGCAGCACAAUAAAACCAAUAUAGCAUUAUAUUAUGCCAAUAUCAUCUCUUUGUUGACUAUUGCUAUUAUAGUUUGUUUUAUGGGUCUUGUGUAAACAAUCAAGCUAUAAUAUUGGGUUAACUCCCUAAGGAAAACUUGGAAUAUAGAACAUUAUUUUAAAGACUGAAUUAGGUAAAUACACCUGCCAGUGAAUACAUUAACAAAUUAAUUAAUAUAUUCACUCUUUUCACUCACAAAUACUUUUUGAGCCCCUAUUACUAGCCAAACAUUUUGUUAGAUUCUGAGAAGGGUCUGCUAGACAACAUUGUGACUAUAGUUAAUAACAAUAUAUUGUACUCUUGAAAAUUACUAAGAGAGUAGAUUUUAAGUGUUCUCACCACAAAAAAUAAGUAUGUGAGGUAAUGCAGAUGUUAGUUAGCUUGAUUUAGCCAUUCCCCAGUGUAUACAUAUUUCAAACCUUCAUAUUAUACAUGGAUAAAUAUAUACAAUUUUUAUUUGUCAAUUAAAAGCCCCUCGAUGAAUACAGUUUCCAUUCUGUCCUUGAGGUGGAGCUUGUAGACUUGGUGGGGUCCGGGGAUCAACUUUUAAACAGGCAGUUCCAAAGUGUGGAGUGGAUAGGCUUAUUCUCUUUGUUGCUUUUAUGAUAGGUAUUUAGAAUGCACUUUCCUCUGUUAAGUUAAGCCAGCCACCAUUCCCUCAUUCAGUUUCCAUCCUCCAUGAAUUUGCUCACAUCUGCGGUCUACUGUCACUCAUUCUUUCCUUCUCUUCCUGAGGGCUUGUGUGACUUAUGUUCUUGGCUUUCUCUUAGGAACAUGGUGCAGCUUGGCCCUGCAUUAUCCAUCUGGAAAAACAGAUCAUAAAACAGUCCUUCUCUGUACUAAGUGCUAAAGUAGGAGGAAGGGCAUAAGUCAGCUCCCUGAGCUAUAUAUCCUUGUUUUCAGGAGCUGAGCUAGACACAAGCAGAACUUGCAAAUAAUUUACAUUUCUUUCUGCUGAGGUGGUUCAGAAUAAGUUGCAACAAACAUGAACAGGAAUGGUGCAGUAAAU